UCAUUACGGAUCCCGGCUGAAAGCCAUUUUGUUUUUCAGCUCACUUCAAGGGUACCUGAAGCGAAUUGAUACCAAAGCAGCAGCUGUAUUGCCGCAGUUCUAGCUUCACCUUCACGAUGUUUCCCUUGGUCAAAAACGCACUAAAUCGUCUCCAAGGGACAGAGAAUUGCUCUGUUACCCAGGCUGGAGUGUAGUGGUGUGAUCAUAGCUCACUGCAUCCUCUAACUCCUGGAUUCAAGUGAUCGUCCGGCCACAGCCUCCUGAGUAGCUGGGACUACAGUUCGAAGCAUUCAGCAAACAAUGGCAAGGCAGAGCCACCAGAAACGUACACCUGAUUUUCAUGACAAAUACGGUAAUGCUGUAUUAGCUAGUGGAGCCACUUUCUGUAUUGUUACAUGGACAUAUGUAGCAACACAAGUCGGAAUAGAAUGGAACCUGUCCCCUGUUGGCAGAGUUACCCCAAAGGAAUGGAGGAAUCAGUAAUCAUCCCAGCUGGU
rnacentral:sRNA from 1 species